AUUGAACGCUGGCGGCAGGCCUAACACAUGCAAGUCGGACGGUAGCACAGGGGAGCUUGCUCCCCGGGUGACGAGUGGCGGACGGGUGAGUAAUGUCUGGGAAACUGCCCGGUGGAGGGGGAUAACUACUGGAAACGGUAGCUAAUACCGCAUAACGUCUUCGGACCAAAGUGGGGGACCUUAGGGCCUCACGCCACCGGAUGUGCCCAGAUGGGAUUAGCUAGUAGGUGGGGUAACGGCUCACCUAGGCGACGAUCCCUAGCUGGUCUGAGAGGAUGACCAGCCACACUGGAACUGAGACACGGUCCAGACUCCUACGGGAGGCAGCAGUGGGGAAUAUUGCACAAUGGGCGCAAGCCUGAUGCAGCCAUGCCGCGUGUAUGAAGAAGGCCUUCGGGUUGUAAAGUACUUUCAGCGGGGAGGAAGGCGGUGAGGUUAAUAACCUCGCCGAUUGACGUUACCCGCAGAAGAAGCACCGGCUAACUCCGUGCCAGCAGCCGCCGUAA
rnacentral:rRNA from 1 species